GGCAGUGUAGCCUAAAGGUAGGAAGGACAACCUGGAGCCAGGAAGCCUGGGUUCAAACCCCAGCCCUGCCU
rnacentral:tRNA from 1 species